GAAGCAAUGAUGAGAUGAAGCACUUGGAUGUGUUUUGGGGCAGUGGACGGGAUCAUUUGGUCUCGCCGUGAGCCUUUAUAACUUAUAAACGACUUCUCCUUCCACUGAGCUCU